rnacentral:rRNA from 1 species
AGUUAACGCUGGCGGUAGGCCUAACACAUGCAAGUCGAACGGCAGCACAGUAAGAGCUUGCUCUUACGGGUGGCGAGUGGCGGACGGGUGAGGAAUACAUCGGAAUCUACUUUUUCGUGGGGGAUAACGUAGGGAAACUUACGCUAAUACCGCAUACGACCUACGGGUGAAAGCAGGGGAUCUUCGGACCUUGCGCGAUUGAAUGAGCCGAUGUCGGAUUAGCUAGUUGGCGGGGUAAGGGCCCACCAAGGCGACGAUCUGUAGCUGGUCUGAGAGGAUGAUCAGCCACACUGGAACUGAGACACGGUCCAGACUCCUACGGGAGGCAGCAGUGGGGAAUAUUGGACAAUGGGCGCAAUCCUGAUCCAGCCAUACCGCGUGGGUGAAGAAGGCCUUCGGGUUGUAAAGCCCUUUUGUUGGGAAAGAAAAGCAGCAGGUUAAUACCCCGCUGUUCUGACGGUACCCAAAGAAUAAGCACCGGCUAACUUCGUG